UACGAAGGGGGCUAGCGUUGCUCGGAAUCACUGGGCGUAAAGCGCACGUAGGCGGAUUGCUAAGUCAGGGGUGAAAUCCUGGAGCUCAACUCCAGAACUGCCCUUGAUACUGGCGGUCUCGAGUCCGGGAGAGGUGAGUGGAACUGCGAGUGUAGAGGUGAAAUUCGUAGAUAUUCGCAAGAACACCAGUGGCGAAGGCGGCUCACUGGCCCGGUACUGACGCUGAGGUGCGAAAGCGUGGGGAGGAAACAGG
rnacentral:rRNA from 1 species